CUGGAACUAAGGCGACCCAGGGUGCAGCGGGCGCGGCUCCGGGCAUGCGCGGCGACUUCCCGCCGAGCGCCCCGCGGCCGUGCUCGGUCACCUCCCGCCGCUGCCGGCUUCACCGAGCACCGGGGCUAACCGCAGAGGUGCCGGGGCUCCAGAUGUGCAAACCCAAGCCCGCAUUCAGUGAGUGGACUUCAGACACCUGGGGACUGUUGGUUGAGUAGGGAUGAGUUUUGAAAAACCUCAAUUAAUUUUAAGGACGGAAACAAACACAGUACCCAGAAUUUCGCGGCUUUUCCCAUAAAGAGUGCUGCUGUUCAUCGUGAACUGUUUUAAUUGGAGUCAGUGCUGUGUGUUGGUGAGAACUAAGGGAUGUGACGGGAGAGAAGCACAGAAGAUCAGCAAGACGAGACCGGGCUGUGACAUCUGUGACUCUGUUGCUCCUGUUACUGCUUGCACUGUGCCUUUGGUCCGAUGUCAAAGUUUGGCUGUUGUUUUUGUUUCUGGAGGCGGGGUUUCUCUGUGUAGCCUUGGCUGUCCUGGGAACUCACUCUGUAGGCCAGGCUGGCCUCGAACUCACAGAGAUCCAACACCCUCUGCCUCCCAAGUGCUGGAAUUUAAAGGUGUGCGCCACCACACUUUUAGAACCCUUACCGUGUCUCUGUUAUAUCAGCUUUACAUUGCUGUGACAGAAUGCGCAAGACAGUCAACUUGUUGAUUUUUUUUUUAAUUCUCUCUCUCUCUCUCUCUCUCUCUCUCUCUCUCUCUCUCUCUCUUUCCCAAGACAGGGUUUCUCUGUAGCUUUGGAGACUGUCCUGGAACUAGCUCUUGUAGACCAGGCUGGUCUCGAACUCACAGAGAUCCAGCAGCCUCUGCCUCCCGAGUGCUGGGAUUAAAGGCAUGCGCCACCACCACCCGGCAGGACAGUCAACUUGUAAUGAGGAGAGAUUUACUUUGACCCAUGAUCUCAGGGACUCCAGCCUAUGGUCAGUUGGCUCCGUUGCAUUAUGGCCCGCACUGAGACAUGACAUCAUGUUGGGAAAGCACAUGGUGGGGAGCAGAUGAGGGAACAAACCUCUCCUCCUCAUGGUGGCUGGAAAACAAAAAAAGAACCAGAAAAGUAAGGUUUUGAUAUCCCCUCAAAGGGCAUGACUUGAAUAACCUCCCAUUAAGUCACUCCUAAGAGUUCUGCCACUUCCUAGUAGUGCCCCAGGCUGGUGACCAAGUCUUUCUCAAACAGAUCUUUGAAGAACACUUCCCGUCCAAACCAUAACUCUGUUAAGAACCAUUCUGCUUAGAGCAGCUGGCAUAGCAGGCAAAGGGUAGGCGGGGGAAAGAGAAGGCUCCUCCAGCUCAAAGAGUAUUACAUCAAAUCAUGGGGAUGGGCAGAGAUCCUCCAAGGCAGAUGGUUCUAGGUAGCCUGUACCAGAAACACCUGCCCGAGUUCAGGCAAACAAUCACUCCUGGGCAGUAGGAUCGGUUCCACUCAUUGAUCACAGAUGUUCAUGGAGCGCUCUCCCCUGGGCCUAGCAGGCAAGGCAGAAGCAAUUGAGAUCUCAGCCUGCCAAUGAUCUGGGUAGAUCUUAGGGCGAUACCAGGCAUCAAGAGCCAUUUAGUGGCCAGAGGAUGCUUGGAGAGCCAGAGCAGGAGUCUACCGAUGAGCAGCCAAGCCAUACUGUAGGAGCCAGCCAUGAUAAGUUAAAUAUGAACAGAUCACCCAAAGGAAGUUCUUUACUCCCAAUCAUUAUCACUUGCCAGAGCAGGACUCAGCCAUCGAUAAAUUUAAUACAUGCCUGAAUCUCAGUUGUUUACCCUGAAGCAAUACCUGGUUGCAGUAAGGACCAUGAACUAAGAUUACCUGAGCACCACCCAAAAACAGACCCAUUCAAAGGAAACGUCUAACGUUCUAACUGCUGUAGUUAGGAUCACCUGCCAGCACACACUCACCAGGACACCCCUAGACAAAUGUCAGCCAAUCAGGGGUCCUGAACCUCAGAAACCCCUCACCCCCACCUUUGCUACUAUCAAACCCUAUUGAGCUCAGGGCUCUCCAUUUAUUCCAAUACGUUGAACAUGUGGAGAGACUGAG